AAGCACAUUGGCACAGGGGAAUAUGUCCUGAAUAGCACAUCAAUGGCUUAUGCUCUAAGAUCAAGAGUUGACAAAUGGGACCUCAUAAAAUUGAAAAGCUGUGUAAGGCAGAGAACACUGUCAAUAGGACAAAAUGGCAAUCCACAGAUUGGGGAAAGAUCUUUACCAAUCCUACAUCUGAUAAAGGACUAACAUUGAAAAUAUACAAAGAACUCAAGAAGUUAGACUCCCAAAUAACCCUUUAAGAAUGGAUUCCAGUUCUAAUGUUCAACAUCCUUAAUCUGCAGGGAAAUGCAGAUCAAAACAGCCCUGAGAUUCCACCUUACACCAGUCAGAAUGGCUAAGAUCAAAAACUCAGGUGAGGAUGUGCAGAAAGAGGAACACUCCUCCAUUGCUGGUGGGAUUGCAGUACACAAGAUAUGUACUCACUGAUAAGUGGAUAUUAACCAAAAAAAAAAAA
rnacentral:lncRNA from 1 species